rnacentral:sRNA from 1 species
AACAAGAAAAAAAACGGUGAAACAUGAGUUACAACAAGGUCUACAAAGUACUCAGAUUUUUUUUUAGAGCUCGUCAAAGAUGUUCUGCAAGAUCUUCCGCAAGAAAAAAACUAAAACUGAAAAA